CGCGGCCUAUCAGCUUGUUGGUGGGGUAAUGGCCCACCAAGGCGUCGACGGGUAGCUGGUCUGAGAGGACGGCCAGCCACACUGGGACUGAGACACGGCCCAGACUCCUACGGGAGGCAGCAGUAGGGAAUCUUGCGCAAUGGGCGAAAGCCUGACGCAGCAACGCCGCGUGGGGGAUGAAGGCCUUCGGGUUGUAAACCCCUUUCAGCAGGGACGAAACUGACGGUACCUGCAGAAGAAGCCCCGGCCAACUACGUGCCAGCAGCCGCGGUAAUACGUAGGGGGCGAGCGUUGUCCGGAAUCAUUGGGCGUAAAGAGCUCGUAGGCGGCUUGGCAAGUCGGGUGUGAAAACUCCAGGCUCAACCUGGAGACGCCACCCGAUACUGCCAUGGCUAGAGUCCGGUAGGGGACCACGGAAUUCCUGGUGUAGCGGUGAAAUGCGCAGAUAUCAGGAGGAACACCGGUGGCGAAGGCGGUGGUCUGGGCCGGAACUGACGCUGAGGAGCGAAAGCGUGGGGAGCGAACAGGAUUAGAUACCCUGGUAGUCCACGCCGUAAACGUUGGGCACUAGGUGUGGGGACCCAUCGACGGUCUCCGUGCCGUAGCUAACGCAUUAAGUGCCCCGCCUGGGGAGUACGG
rnacentral:rRNA from 1 species